CUCAGUCUGUGUCCCCAACAAAGAUGUUUAGCAAGAUCAAUUCUGUCUUUGCUGGUGUAAUAGUCCCAAGGUUGCACACUCAGUAUUUAUGUGUAUUUGACUAUAUUCAUCCUUCUAACCACUUUUCUUUUUUUUUUCUCUCUCAUGAGUUUUAGAUCUGUUAAUGCAAUAGGUACAGAUCAAACAAGCAAAACUGUUGAGAAGGUAAUACUUCAGCUAGGAAGCACAAAUUACUUGGCCAGCCAGCUCACGUGUCCUACAGACUUGUUCUCUGCACUUACGAUCUCAAGUGACAGUGCUGCAGUGAUGACACGAUUGAAGUUCCAUCAGUAGAUAAAGACAUAAAGACAGAGAGUUCUCCUUGCUCAGCAUUUCAGUACUCUGGUGUUAUGCCAAUGCCAUGUGAUGCAAGCCUGAGCAACAUUGUCUUUGCAUGCCUACUGGAGCGCAAUGUUCGGUGCACCACAAUGCCAUGUAUCAGCUUUUGUGUGCUGGUACAAUUGAUGGCAAUAACCCCCUGAAUUAAAUGCAUCAAUGUAUUGGAA